GCACGAAGCCGGAAUCGCUAGUAAUCGCAGAUCAGCAUGCUGCGGUGAAUACGUUCCCGGGUCUUGUACACACCGCCCGUCACACCAUGGGAGUCGGAAAUGCCCGAAGUCAGUGGCCCAACCGCAAGGAGGGAGCUGCCGAAGGCAGGUCCGGUGACUGGGGUGAAGUCGUAACAAGGUAUC
rnacentral:rRNA from 1 species